ACGGGUGAGUAAUGCCUAGGAAUCUGCCUGGUAGUGGGGGACAACGUUUCGAAAGGAACGCUAAUACCGCAUACGUCCUACGGGAGAAAGCAGGGGACCUUCGGGCCUUGCGCUAUCAGAUGAGCCUAGGUCGGAUUAGCUAGUUGGUGAGGUAAUGGCUCACCAAGGCUACGAUCCGUAACUGGUCUGAGAGGAUGAUCAGUCACACUGGAACUGAGACACGGUCCAGACUCCUACGGGAGGCAGCAGUGGGGAAUAUUGGACAAUGGGCGAAAGCCUGAUCCAGCCAUGCCGCGUGUGUGAAGAAGGUCUUCGGAUUGUAAAGCACUUUAAGUUGGGAGGAAGGGUUGUAGAUUAAUACUCUGCAAUUUUGACGUUACCGACAGAAUAAGCACCGGCUAACUCUGUGCCAGCAGCCGCGGUAAUACAGAGGGUGCAAGCGUUAAUCGGAAUUACUGGGCGUAAAGCGCGCGUAGGUGGUUCGUUAAGUUGGAUGUGAAAUCCCCGGGCUCAACCUGGGAACUGCAUCCAAAACUGGCGAGCUAGAGUAUGGUAGAGGGUGGGUGGAAUUUCCUGUGUAGCGGUG
rnacentral:rRNA from 1 species